UCAAUUUGGAAUGCGAUUUUGUUAAUAAAAAAAAUACUUAUAACUUAUGCAAAACCCAAGAGAGGCAUUUAUAUUUAUUUCUUUUGCGUUCAUUUUCAAAUUCGCCGUGCAUAUAUUUUUGUGCAUGGCGCUUGAGAGGGCAUCACGUGACUAAAAACGACCAACCAACGACCUCGCUUCGGCCAUCUUGGCAUCUUCAUCUUGGCGACCUUGCCUUGCCGUGGAUUGUUUUUAGUUGUUUGUAUUAUUUGUGCUUUUUAAGAAUAUUUUUUUAAUUCGGAUACUUUUAUAAUAGCUUUAAUAGUAUUAUUAACAUAGUGCAUAAAAUGGUGUCCUGUUUUUAACGCAGUUGGAGUAGCAGAAACAAAUGUAGAUAAAAAAAUCUGCAGGAAUAACGUUUCAAUUAUGACAGAAGCUCAAAACAAAUGACUGAAUGAAAAGCCCUAUUAAAAGCUUUCCAGAAGAUCCUGCGAAGAAGACAUGAAGUAUAGAUCAGAUUUGUUAAUAGAGGAGUAUGUUCAAAACACUUUUUAGAAAAAGAUAUUGACAGAACUUCACUUUCAUCUGUUCGUUUGAGAGACUGUGCUGUUCCAAUAGCUUAUGUCACACAGAAUCAGCUGAGAGAAGUGGUCUACAAAAAACCAGAAAGGAAACGGAAUAUGUGGCUACGAAAAGCAAAAGAAAGGUUUACAAAGCAAAUGUGACACAUUUUUUUAUAAUAUUUAGGAAUGUCAGCAAAUUACAUUAAAAAAUGUAUAUAAAGAUUUUUUGCAAUAAAAAUGUUUAUAUUUA